rnacentral:lncRNA from 1 species
AUCAAUAACACAGUCCUACCUACUUGCCAUUUGAAACCUUUAUUCAACACAAAUCAUUAAUUUCAACUGCUACCUAAUGAGGCCAAACUCUGAGUUUCGUACCAAUUCAAGUUAAAACUAGUAAUCACAUAACGCAUAUGCAAACUGCCACCAAUUUAACUUAACAAAUCUACAGUAACAAUAGUAAACAAGCUUAAACAGUCCAAAGUUAAUACAGUUGGAUCAUUGCAAUCCAAUUUUUGGGCAUUCAUAUCAAUUGGAAAUAAUUUUAAUUAAGCCCAAAAAAAUCAAACUAAACAACAAGGCAUAUUUUACUAUAACUACAGUUUAACUACUAAGCAGUGAAUGCAUCCUUGAUCCAAACUUCCAUUCAUUUCAUCAACCAAGGGUUUACAAGCAUGUACCUGGAAACGGAAAUUCAACAAGAAGAGGUGGAUCAGCAGCAGAUUAAGUAAUCAGCAGGACCAAACAGCAAAUCACGACAUCAAGGAAUCAGUUUGGACUUAGUUAUAGACCCAGAGAUGAUGUUCAAUGAACCAGGACCAAUUUCAACCAAAAAAAACCCCCAAAACAGCUUGAAUACAACUAAAAUGACUCGAGAUUAAAUCCAGGAACAACCAGAAAACUUCAACAAUCAAAUUGAAGCUAACUAAUGUAAGUCCACACUAUAACUUAGAAUUGAGCUUAAAAUUGCAGUGGAACAGUAUUUGAAUGCCCUGUUUUUUGGAUUUUUCUUUUUAUUUUCUGAAGUGGAGAUCUGAGAAAGAGUUUGUGAAUUUUAGAAUCGUAGAUCUGCCUAUUAUGCAAUGUAACAGUAAUUUUUGGUUUUUUCUAUUUUCUAAAUGUUUUGUAUUUUUGAAAAUUUCAAUUCUAACACUAAGCUGAAAUUUAGAGAAGGGGAAAAGGUUUUCGAGGGAAUUUUUGGGCUGAAAAAUUGGACCCUUCACAAGGCAAAGCACUCUAUAUUUAUAGGUGAACUAGGUUUUUUAUAUUUACCUCUUGGUCUCUCUCUUUUUAUCUUUUGACCCUUCUAUCUCUGACUUGUAACACAAGUAGCCCUUAUCUAGAAACUCCUAGGUGUUGCACAUUAUUUUUGUGCCUGCCAAAUUCCCAUAAUACCCUUAAACUCCCCUCAGAUUUUACUAAGAUAUUUUACACAGUUAACCCUCAUACCCUGCUAAUUAACCACCAAAUGAGCUUAACUACAAUCUAGCUGACCCAAACAAUUAACCAAAAUUAAACCAACCAAAACACAUAUAAUCUAAUUACUCUAACAAAAGUCAAAAUCAAUCCAAAUGAAUAACUAACGGAACCAAGCUAAUCUGCCAAUUUUAACCAAAUACUUCAAACCAACUGGAAUCGAAAUUAAUCAAAAUAAACCAAGAUACAUGCAAGUACACAAAGAGAAAGAAAACGAAAUAAUAAAAAGAAAGAAAGAAAGACCAUAAAACUCACUGAUGAACCAAGAACUCCGGCCAGCAGUUGAGCCCAAAUCAUCCAAAAAUCUUGACACCUAACAUCCCAAAUCAUGUGUUUUCAUAAGAAAACACCUGAUUAGGGGUGUUACGGUCCGAAAUUAUGGAGAUUAAAGAUUAGGGUUUUUGGCCAGAAAGUUUCAAUCCGGUAUUCGAGCAAUUCCGGAAAGACUCGAGGGAUGCCACUAUGGGGGUUGGGUAGAGUAGGUCCGGGCGGUUCUAUGGUGUAAUGUUGGGAUCAUUUGGCAUAAGUUUUAUCAUGGCCGAAAAAGUUUCCGAUGAAGAUUCGAGGAGAUGGAGGCAGAUUUGAAGGAUAAGGAUAUGGGGAAUGGAAAGAGGAGAAGAAGGCACAUCGAUGGUGUUCUUUUGGUAAUCAACAGCGUAAGUUACGUCUCCCGCCGGCGAGGACUCCGGUGAAGGUACAGUGGCGGAGAUGGUGGGGUGAGUUUUGGUACGAGGAAGACAGGAUUGGUCUUUGACUUUGAAUAAUAUCAAACGACCAUUUAAUAAUUUAAUGAGACUGAACCCCACCUGUUAGAUUAAGAUCAAUAGAUGACUGUGAUUGAGAGACGCCUAAAUGGCAUCAUUUUUGGUUGAGGGAAUUUCGAUCGGGUGAGGAAUUGGGUCGGGCUAGCCGGGUGUGGGUCAAAUGGUUUGGGCCUGAAUUGUAACACCAGCCUACUUUCAAUUCCUUAUUAAGUAAUUUUCUUUUGCUUUUUCUUUUUCUUAUUUAUUUUAAUUAUUUGUUUUUUUAUAUUUUUUCUAAUUUUAUUAAAAUGCUAAAAUAAACUCACAAUCAACUUAACACAAAAAUUAGAUUUCCUAAUUAAUUCCUAAUUAAAAAUGCAAACUAAUUCCAGUUUAAACUAAAAAUUCAAAACGGACCAUUUUGUUAUUUUCUUUGAAUUUUGUUCUUAAAAUAAAUUAACCCCUAAUUAAUCCUAAAUUAUAAAUUUAAAUCCUAAAUGUAAAUGCAUAUUCUUAUAUUUUAUAUGAAUUAACAUGCACAAAUAAAAUGCAAUAAUUAUCAGAAAAUGACACCAAAAUACACAAAAAUUGUAAAAAUAAAGAAAAAUUAUUUUGUUGAAUUUUUGGGAAUAAUUUUCUUAGGGCAAAAAUUACGUGCUCACACUAACAUAAAACUUCAAAAUAUUUUAGAGCAUCAUCUUUUUGACUCAAAAACAUAACGCAGGUAAAUCUAGAGAAAUUGUCUACAAUAACAAAAGUAUAUUUUCUACCACCUAUACUAACAGCUCUAGUUGGACCAAAUAAAUCCAUAUGCAUUAGUUGGAGAAGUUUUGAGGUGGAAACAAAAUUCUUGAUUUUGAAAUGUGAGAGAGUUUUUUUCCUAGUUGACAUGCGUCACAAAUAUGAUCCUUUGAAUAAUCUAGUUUUGGAAGUCUAAUAACUAGAUCAUGUUUAGAAAGAUUUUGAAUAGUAUGCAUGCUGGCAUGACCAAAUUUUUUUAUGCCAGACCCAGGGAUCAUCAGCUAUAGAAGCAAGAUAAAUUUAUACCCAAGAUUAUCUCGGUUGCUAAUAGUAUAGACAUUUCUAUCUCUAUUACCUGAAAGAAUGACUUUACUUGAUUCAUCUUCUAUAAACCAACUAUGUUUCUUAAAGCAAACCACCUAGUCACAUAGUUGACUAAUGCUGAGAAGAUUGUAGCCAAGUUCAUCAACCAGGCAGUCUUCAUCUACAUCACAUGUUGAGCUUAGAGAAACUUUUCUGACACCAAUUACAUUUUCUUUAGAUUUGUCUCCAAAUGUGACUGUUCCUCCAUCUAGUUUGGGGACUGUCUUGAACAAUUGUUUAUCACCAGUCAUAUGUCUGGAACACGCGCAGUUGAGAUACCACAUUCCUUUUGGAUUUUUCUUGUGGUGUUCCUGCAAAAUAAAAUUACUUGUUUUUAAGUACCCAAGAUUGCUUGGGUCCUGAAAGGUUAAAAUAUUGAGUGUUAGUUUGAUUUGAAGAUUUGAGUUGUCAGACCCAUCUUCUGUCAUCCUUGAACCUGUAACGAUUUGAUGUGUGUCCCUUUUUACCAUAAUAAAAAUAAGACGGACUAUUUGAAUUUUCAGAGUCUUUUUCUGCUUUGAUUCUGUUCCUGCAUUGGUUAGUAUUAUGGCCAUUUUUACCUCAAAAGGAAGAUGCAUGAAAUUUCUUUUGUUUAUGAUGAACGGUUUGAUUUGAUUUGACUGAACUAUCACUAGUGGAUUUUUGCAAUCCAUUCAAUUGAAGUUGAAGUUUAUUAACUUUUUCCUUUAGCAUAUCACGUUCAAUUUCACAAACUUCUAGCUUCAGGGCCCAUUCUUUCUUUUCUCUUUGAAUCUUUCUGAGUUUAUUUAGAACUCUUUCAAUAUCUGCAAGAGCAAUAUUAACAAAUUCUUAGAGUUCAUAACAAUUAAGGCGAUUUGGGGGACGUAUCUCACUAGUUCCCUCGUCUGUCAUGAGAUCAAGUUGAUCUGAGUCUUCUUCUUCAUUUGCUCCUCUGUUUCCUGAAAAACCACGCUCUCCUAAUUCUUCAUUUCUAUCAUCUUCUAUGUCCAUAAAUCACAUAUUUGCAAUUUCCUUAUGAUCAGACUCUUCUUCAUCACUCCAAGUCCAAAAGACUUCUUCCUUUGAAAGUUCCUGCUCAGCUCCUUCUUUAGGUGGGGACGGUCAGCUUGAAGUGUCCACAUUUCCCACAUUCGUAGCAUCUUCCAUCCUUUUCAUUGUUUAUCCUUCACUUUCCGAAGUUAGGUUUACCUUUUCUGCUAUGUCUGUUUUCCUUCAUCAUGCUAGUUACAACUUGAGAAAGCAUGGCUAUAUUUUCAUCUUGUUCUCCUCUUUCAUCUUCUUCUUCUUCUUCAUCUUCUGGUUCAUUCAUGGUUGCUUUGAAGGCGACUGUUUUCUUCUUUUCUUGUUGAAUCUGUCUAUCCAAGUGAGUUUUCUCAAAAGUUAUUAGAUCACCUCUGAGUGCAUCAUAGGACAUUUCGUCAAGAUCCUGACAUUCGAGUGCGAUGAACUUUGGCUACCAAAUCAUAGGUAGACUUCUUAGAAUUUUUCUGACUUGUUCUCCACUUUUUAUUGUUCUACCAAAGGACUUCAGAUCUCCAAGAAUUUUGCUGGACUUGGAGAUUAUUUUUUCAGCAGAUUCUCCGUCCUUCGUUUGAAAUACCUCAUAUCACGAACCAAGAGAUUUAUUCUCGUUUCUUUUACCUUGUUGGUCCCUUCAUGUAUGACUUCCAAUUUGUCCUACAUCCCCUUAGUAGUUUCACAUCUUGAGAUCUUUUCAUAUUCUUCACCACUGAUAGCAUUGUACGAUAGAUUUUUUGCUUUGGCAUUCACAGUUAUGAUAGCAGCUUGCUCAUUAGUAUAGUCAUCUAAGUCAAGUGGAUUGGUGGUUACUAUUAUUUAUCAUUCUCAUCCUUCUUUUGGGGGAAUUGGAAGACUUCCCUUUUUGAUCACCUACCAAACUUUGAUGUCAUAUGAUAUGGUGUAUGUUUCCAUACGCACUUUUUAAUGAGAAAAAUAUUAUCCAUUAAAGUAUGGUGGUCGAACUUAAGAGGUUCCCUCUUGAAAUAGUGCACCAACAAUUGUUUUUGAUUCAAUUAUCUUUUCUUCACUAGCUAUUAAGUAAAGUUUGUGAGUCUUUCAUUGAUAAUCAAUUGAAAGUACAUGAGGGGGGAAGGGUGAAUUGUGGUCUAUUAAAAAUUAAUCGACUAACAAUAAUUUUAUUUGACUAGAUCGAGAGCAGAAUGUAAAAUAAUAAGUGAAAUGAAAGAGAAUGACAUACAACAAAUUUAUACUAGUUCGGUAUCGAUGUGGUACUUGCAUCCAGUUUCCCUUGAGUCACAAGGGUUCCCUUUAGAUCUUGAAAGUAUUACAACAAGGAUGGUUUUUAUUCAUUUACCACCAACGAAGUAUAGCAACAAUGAAUCACUAAUAAUGACACAACUCUCUUUUAUAUUCUAACUCUUCCUAUCUUUUGAGAAACUGGUAAACUAAGCAUUACCGUGUUUAGGCUAAGAAGUAGAUAGACUUAGAAAAUAAUGUGUGCAGUUGCGCAAUUAUUCCAUUUGAUCUAAGCAAACUUCUUAUAGGAGAGAAAAGAGUCGUUGAGUCUUGACCAAAAAUAGAGUUACGAGAUCUUUAAAAGGAUGUGACCCAAUGGGUGCCUCUUUGAAUCCUGCUCUUGGGAAGAGCCGGAUUCGAUCGUGACUUUCCUUGUCACAACUUUCAUUCACGAUACAAUCAAGUAUUUGAUUGAUUUUAACUAAGAAUACAUAAUAUUUGCUGGCAAUAGCUCCUUGAUUUGUAAUCUGAUUUCCUUGAUUGAGGCCGAAUAGAUCUAUAGAUUCUUUAUUCUUCCUUCAGGUCCAUCGAUUUAGCAAUCACAUAUUUGGAUAGCUUCUUAUUGGUUUUCUUUUCUUUUGAUGAUUCCUAAAAAACAAGGUAAGUGAACAUUGUCAUCAUUGAAACCUUGGAAUUUAACUUAACAUGGUUGUGGUAUUAAAAUUUGUUUUGAGGAAAAGUUGUGGCAUAUGGGAACACGUGGUAAAAAACCUUUUAUUGCGUUGUUAUGUUUGUCACACGUGAUAUUAUUAAGAGGAUUGUUGGGGUAUUUGCACGUGAUUUGUCCGUGAUAUUAUUAUUAUUAACAUUUGCACAUGAGGCGUGACAAGGCAGGCUAUAUAUAUGUGGAUUUUCUCAUGUGCCGAUACAAUGUGAUAAUAUUAUUAUGCGUGUGCGAUGAGACAAGGCAAGCAUUUAUUCUAUUGUUGCACAUACGGCAAGACAAGGUGGGCUAUGUCGGGGAAUGAUUUAUGAUAACUUGUGACGGCCUGGGGGCAUUGUUAUUAUUUUAUGUAAUGGUAGCCUACCUUAUGUGAGUUAUACAUUGUAUAUUUUGUGGUGAUUGUUUCUUAUGUUUCAUUCAUUGUCUCUACUCUUACUUAUUGACUUGAAUUGUGAUUGAACACUUGUAUAAGCAUACACGUAAUUAAUUACCAUAUCAAUUUAAGAAUAUGAAUCUUGAUGUUAUUGACCAUUUUAUGUACUCUCAUUUAAUUGUAUUUUGUGUAAGAGUUGUUCUAUUGGCACGUGAGUUAUCCGUGUGGUCAUGAGUCAUUAUUACUGUUGACACGUGAUUUGUCCAUGCGGAUAAUUGAUAUUGUCACUCCUUAGGCACGUGAGCCGUCCGUGCAGUUAUUAAUAGUAAUAUGGGCAUGAGAUGCCAAGUGAUUAGAAUUCAGGAAUUGGGACCCGUGAAAUGUGAUCAUAAGGUAAAGUACCUCGAGGAAAUCCUUGAACAAAUCUUGUGUGAAAGUGGGGGAUCUUAUUGAAUUAAUAGUUGUUCCUUCUACUCGGUUUUACCAGACUUAAACUGUGUUCAGCUCAUUCUAUGGCAUUAUUACUUGUUUGUCCCCUAUUGUUAAUCAUUGUUUCUAGUGCUUUACUACGAGUAAUGUUUUGUAAUCUUUACUAUGCUUAAUUUAUAUUGACAUUGUUUUGCCGUUAGUUUCAUGUUCAUACUUUUACAGGUUAUUUAUUCUAGUAGGUCUCUUAACUCUCCCUCGUCACUACUUUACCAAAAUUAGUCUUGAUACUUACUAAAUACCAUUAUGGUGUACUUAUACUACACAUUUUGUGCAGAUUCAGGUACUUCAGAGUGUGUUGAUCACUAGUUAGCUAUUCGGGUUUUGAUGUGGAGACUCAAGGUAAAUCUGUCGUUUCAUCUGCGGGCCUCGAAAUCACCUUCUACUAUUGUACUUGUGUUAUCUAUUUCUUUUUUGGGACAAUUGUUCUUACAAGAUUAUUCUAGUAAACUCAAUAGAGCUUCAGGCUUAUAUUACCAGUUUUUGGGUAUUGUAUCGCACUCGGAACCAUUGGUUUUACUAUAGAAAUUACAGUUUAAUGCUUCGUAGUUGUUCUGCUUUAAUUUUAUCUUCUAUUCAGUAAGUGUUAGGUUUACCUAAUCUUAGAGAUUAGGUGUCAUCACGACAUCCUACAGAGAGAAACUAGGGUGUGACAUGAAUUGAAAAAAGGAACACAAAAAGCAGCUUUUCUUGCUUCAGAAGGGAUCAUACAUCAGUUAUCGUGUGUGGGAACUCCUUAACAAAAUGUAAUUUUUGAGAGAAAUCAUAUACAUCUUUUAGAUGUUGCAAGAGGAUUGAUGUUUCAAUCCAAUCUCCCUAUAUCUUAUUUGGGAGAGUCUAAUUUAAUUGCGAUACACAUCAUAAAUAGACUGGCCUCUAGGAUGCUGAAAGGUAAGAUAUCGUAUGAAGUACUUUUUCAACAGAAGCCUCAAUAUAAACAUUUGAGGAAUUUGGAUGUCUAUGUUAUGCUUCCACUUUGACACAAGGAAGAAGUAAAUUUGAUGAGAGAGCAACUGCAUGUGUCCUAAUUGGGUAUCCUAUACAUAUAAAAAGGAUAUAAAUUAUUGGAGUUGGACAUAAAGAGGGCAUUUACAUCCAGAUAUGUGAAGUUCUUUGAAACAUAUUUUCCAUUUGCUAAGUACAAUCAUUCACACAAUCCUAUUUUUUUCAAACUCACCUCUAGCCUCAGACUCUACCUAUGCUACACACACAACCAGAUGUACCAAAUAUACCAGAUAUGCCUUCUUCACCCUCACUCCUAUCUCCACAUACUCCUCAUCAGUAUUAUUGUCCACAUAUUCCCUAUUCUCCUUCCUAGAACAAUCACCAUAGCAGCUCACCUAGCACAUAAACAAAUAUUCCACUAAGGAAGGACUAUGUAUGCAAUACUGUUGUGUUUACUAUUUGGACAUGGCAUAUUUUGCUCAACCAAGUAAGCCAAGUGAUUACUCCUCUUUAUAUCUAUUUAUAAACAACCAACACAUUAUUCAAUCUCUACCUACACUAAUUGAGCUUACUAGCUUUAACCAAGCUCCUCAAAAUUCAUGAUGUAGAGAAGCCAUGGAAUCAGAAGUUCAAGCCAUAUAAGACAACCAAACCCGGGAUGUGGUUGAGUUACCUAAAGGAAGGAAGGAAUUACUUUAUAAAUGGGUGUACAAAGUAAAAUACAUAUCAGAUGGUACUAUUGAAAUACUAAAGGCAAGGCUUGUAGCAAGAGGGGAUAUCCAAAGAGAAGGAAUAGAUUAUAGUGAAUCAUUUUUACAAAUGGUGAAUAUGACAACUAUAAGAUGCCUUCUUACUGUUACAGCAAAAAGACAUUAGAGUGUUUAUCAAUUGGACGUCAAUAAUGUAUUUUUGCAUGGUGAAUUGCAAGAGGAAGUGUGUUCAUAAAAUUUCCAGCAGGUCUGACACCGCCUAGUCCUAAACACAUUUGUCUUUUGAAAAAUCAUUAUAUGAUUUAACGCAAGUUUCCGCGCGACGGUAUGCUCGGCUUGUAGGGGCUUUGAGUUUUAAAGAUACUCUUCAUCAAUGAAUGAUUACUCUUUGUUUUUUCAAAAAACAAGGGUCUUAUUUCAAUCCUAGCCAUUUAUGUUAAUGAUAUAUUAUUAAUAAGGGAUGAUUUACAGAAAAUUCAAAGCAUCAAAGACUUUCUUAAUACUGAGUUUAAGGUAAAGAACCUAGGAGACAUACACUACUUUCUUGGAAUGAAUUUAUGGGAAAGCAGUGGUUUCAUUGUGAGUCAGCGAAAGUUUACCUUAGAUAUGCAUCAGAAAUUUGAUGCAUCUCACUUGCCUCGAGCAAAUUCUCCUUUAGACCCCUGCUCCAAGCUCCAAACCGAUGAUGGAUCUCUCACGGACAACCCCACAUCUAUCGACGUUUAGUUGGGAAGCAUAACUAUCUGACAAAUACUUGCCCAGAUAUUUCCUUUGUCAUUCUUACUCAGAGCCAAUAUAUGCAGAGGCCUAGUUUUCCCCCUUUUUGUUGCCUUGAGAUUUUGCGAUAUCUAGGUUCUGAUCUGAGAUAAGAAAUUAUGUUGCCCUUCAUUCUUGAUUUUUCCUUGCUUGCAUUUUGUGACGCUGACUGGGUUUUUUCAAGGAUACUUACAUAUAUGGGAGUGGAUUCUUUAUUACCUUAAAAAGGGCUCCAAUCUCGUGGAAAUCGAAGAAACAAGUUUCAAUUGCCCUAUUCUCUGCCGAAGCAUCGUUCCAUGCUGUGUGUCACUACUGUCAUGGGGCGAUUUUGGCCACUUAAAUCCUGGCCGAGGUUUCACCUCCGUGCGGCAGUCAAGCCUGGCCUGACUCAGCCUUCCCCCAAAACUUGCCAAUCACACACAAGUUUAGCCUUAGACGAAUUUGGGCAGCAAAACAGAAUUUAAAUGAGACAAGCAUAUACGGGAACAAUUUCCC